CUUCCCAGCAACGAUGCAUCUAGCAUCAUGAGCACAUCAUCUUUAUUGGGGAAGAACAGAUGUUUACUCUGUAGAUGGGGUCUUCUACGCAGCCAUAGCCUUCAACUUACCCUCCUCUGCCUCAGCCUUCUCAACUACGGGAUCCCGGCACACUUCUCGGCCCCUGGAAGCAAAGGCUCUUGGGCCAUGUAGACAGCCGUCCACGGGUUUCAGAGGGGGAGAUAUGGACAUCUGGGUUGUACCAUUUUGCCCACCACCAUCAAUGUGCUCCCCCAG